rnacentral:tRNA from 2 species
GCUACUGUGGCUCAAUGGUAAAGCACUUCACUCGUAAUGAAGGGAUUGUGAGUUCGAUUCUCACCAGUAGCUCCA